CGCUGGCGGCAGGCCUACACAUGCAAGUCGAGCGGAAACGAGUUAACUGAACCUUCGGGGAACGUUAACGGCGUCGAGCGGCGGACGGGUGAGUAAUGCCUGGGAAAUUGCCCUGAUGUGGGGGAUAACCAUUGGAAACGAUGGCUAAUACCGCAUAAUAGCUUCGGCUCAAAGAGGGGGACCUUCGGGCCUCUCGCGUCAGGAUAUGCCCAGGUGGGAUUAGCUAGUUGGUGAGGUAAGGGCUCACCAAGGCGACGAUCCCUAGCUGGUCUGAGAGGAUGAUCAGCCACACUGGAACUGAGACACGGUCCAGACUCCUACGGGAGGCAGCAGUGGGGAAUAUUGCACAAUGGGCGCAAGCCUGAUGCAGCCAUGCCGCGUGUAUGAAGAAGGCCUUCGGGUUGUAAAGUACUUUCAGCAGUGAGGAAGGYGGAGUCGUUAAUAGCGGCCUCGUUUGACGUUAGCUGCAGAAGAAGCACCGGCUAACUCCGUGCCAGCAGCCGCGGUAAUACGGAGGGUGCGAGCGUUAAUCGGAAUUACUGGGCGUAAAGCGCAUGCAGGUGGUUUGUUAAGUCAGAUGUGAAAGCCCGGGGCUCAACCUCGGAAUUGCAUUUGAAACUGGCAGACUAGAGUACUGUA
rnacentral:rRNA from 1 species